rnacentral:lncRNA from 1 species
AACAAUUUGGUAUUUACACAUAUGUGUCCUCUGUAUUUUUCUUAAGAGUAUGGGAUCAAUACGCAUCCAUUUGCCUAAAAAUGUCUCCAGUUUAUCAUUCUUUCUGACUGAGUAGUACUCCAUUUUAUAAAAAAUCCCACAUCUUCUUUAUCUAGUCAUCAGUUGACAGGGAUUUGGGUUGUUUCUUAGAUUUAGCUAUUACAAACUGUGCCGCUGUAAACAUGAGUGCACAUAUAUCACUGUGGUAUGAUGCUUUUAAUUCUUUUAGGAAGAUUCCAAGCAGGGGAAUAGCUGGGUCAAACGGGACUUCCAAUCCUAGUUUUUUGAGGAAUCUCCAUACUGAUUUCCCAGGGGUUGCACCAGUCUACACUCCCACCAACAGUGGAGAAGGGUUCCUUUUUUCCCAAAGCCCCACUAGCAUUUGUUAUUGCUUGAUUUCUUGAUAGCAGCCAUUCCUUCUGGGGUGAGGUGGAAUCUCAGCGUUGUUUUCAUUUGCAUCUCUCGAAUGACCAUUGAUGUUGAACAUUUUUUCAUAUGUUUAUUUGCCAUUUCUACUUCUUUGUCUGAGAAAUGUCUGUUCAUUUCAGAUGUCCAUUUUUGGGUUGAGUCUUUAAAUUUGGGAGGUCUGAUUUUUUUAAAGUUCUUUAUAGAUUCUAGAUAGUAGACCUUUGUCUGAGGAAGAGCAGGUGAAAAUUUUUUCCCACAUUGUGGGUUGUCUCUUCACACUCUUGGUGGUUUCUCUUGCUGUGCAGAAGCUUUUUUUUUUUUUUUGGUACCAGGGAUCGAAUUCAGGACUUUGCGCUUGUGAGGCAGGUGGCGGAACCACUGAGCUAAAUCCCUGGCUGUGCAGAAGCUUUUUAAUAAGAAGAGAUCCCAUCUGGGGAUUUAGCUCAGUGGUUUUACUGCCUGCUGCACCAGUGCAAGGACCAGAGUUCGAUCCCCGGUAUUAAAAAAUAAAAUAAAAUAAAUAAAAAAUAAAGGUUAGUUCAGGCCCAAUCCAUUGGGCCGGGGAUUUAGCUUAGUGGUUUCGCCACCUACUGUGCAAGCGCAAGGACCCAAGUUCAAUCCCCGGUACCAAAAAGACAAAACAGAAGAGAUCCCAGUUGUUGAUUCUUUGUACUUUUUCUUGUACAAUUGAGGUUUUGUUCAUAAAGUCUUUUCCUAUGCCAAUGUCUUCAAGAGUUCUACCUACCCUAUCUUCUACCAGGUUUAAUGUUACUGAUUUAAUAUUUAGAUCUUUGAUCCAUUUCAAUUUUAGUUUAGUGCAUAGUAAGAGAUGCAGGUCUAGUUUUACUCUUUGGCAAGUUGAAACCCACUUCUUCCAGCACCAUUUAUUAAAGAGGCGAUCUUUUCUCCAGUGAAGGUGUUUGGCUCCUUUGUCAAAGAUGAGGUGGCUGAGUGUGUCUGGAGUUGUUUCUGCAUCUUCUAAUCUGUUCCAUUAAUCCUCCAGUCAUUCACCCUCCUAUAAAGGGUGAUCAAAAAUUACAGUAUAUGUUUAAAUUUCUUCAAAAGUUUUUUAUAGUAAAAUUCACAUGGCUAUUAAUCCCUGUCAAAAUACGUACUUACAUUUUGAACAUACAUAUGUAGUUCUUGCCACUUUCUGAAGCACUUGUGGAAAUCUUUGUAAGUGAUUGUAUGAGGUAUGAUUUUAAAACAUGUUGAGUAAAAGCUGUUGCCAGAAAGACUUGUAAAAACAUGAUGAUGUGUCCUCAUCCAUGUUAUUCACCAGAUCCUGAACUAUGAAACUUCUGGCUCUUCCUAAAAGUAAAAAAGUUGGAGAAAGGUAAAAGUUUUCAAUCAAGACAUCAGUGUAGCCACAACAGUGCCACUUAAGAUAGUCACACAGGACGAUUUCCAGAUCUGUUUCAGAAAGUGAAAUCAACAAUGGGGUGAGUGUGACUGAAGUGAAGAGGAAGGAAAGUAUUUUAGGAGGAAUGAAUGGUAGUGUGUUUUUAUCAUAAGACUUUAAAAGAAUUUAAGGAUUCUCUGUAUUUUUAUCAAACCUUAUAAGUUAACAUUUUAAAAAGGCAAGAAUUGUGCAUAAACACUGAGAGAAACUCUUCUCAUAGGAGAAAUAAAUUAAUUGAAAAAGUAAUAUAUAUAUAUAUUCAUUCACUCACACUUGAUCCAAUAUGAAUGAGUGUUUUUCAUCAUUACAUAUUGUUGCAUCCUUUUUUCACAUUGAUAUGGCACGGUUUCAAUGACUUUUUGAAUGCAAAAUACUUGUUCUACAAGAUUACUUAAGAUGCAGAAAGGAUAGCUAAAGAAAGUGCUAUAUCACAUCUGACGUCAUAUAGGACAUACAUACUUGUUUUCAGGUCUUUGUAUCUGUGAGUUUCCUGCCCACUCUUGCCAGUGCUUCCUGAGAGAACAGUGGUAAGAGUCCCAUCUGUAACAGGGGGUUUUCACUUCUAUUUGCUUUGGCUUCCUCAUGAAGUCCUUGUUGGUUGCAAACACAUUGGGAUCUGUCGUGUUUUCUAGGUGAAUUAACUCUGUAGGUGUCCUUUUCUCAGGGAACUUUUCCUUGCCCCCAUCUACCUUCCAUUCCACUUUUCUUUUGAUUUAUGUUUGCAUGAUAAACCUUUCUCCUACAUCCUGGAAUGUUAAAACUCCCUGUGUCUUUAUUUUUCAGCCAGUUUUGUGGUAAACACCAUAUAGUGCACAUUGGGUUGUUGUAUAAUUGAUAAGUAGUAUGGUUUCUUUGAACCUGGCCCUCUCCCUCCUCAAAUCCAGGUUGGGAAAUAAGAGAAAAAAGAAGAAACAGCAAAGAUCUAAUGUGUCAUGGCAUCUUGUGUCCCCAGUUCACCCCAAACACCAUCCUACGGUGUCCUGUGCUCGCUCCCCCUUGCCUUCCUCCUGGGCUUCUUCCUUGAGCUCCACUCUUGAGUAAAGAUGGAACAUGCUUUCUCCAUCUGACCUCUUUCAUUUAUGUUACAGUCCUAUCAUGUCCCAUCCUGCUCCAGGUCUUUUUGUGUAAUCUCCAUUGUGAUAAAAUUCAUCAUCCAUUUUACUCUUUUGUUUAUGAUGUUUUGUACAAAGUUGUCAAAUGUAUCUAAGGUCCAGCAUAUUAUAGUUUUGCAAAUACUGUUGAAAGUGAUGUUGAAAUUUUUAUCUCUUACUUUCAAAGUAUUGGUCUCCCUACACAACUACUGGAUGCCUUUCAUUUUAUGUAUAUCCAGGCAUUUUUUCCUUAAGUAUGUGUGAAGCAAUUAAAACUCUGGAGUCUCUCCCGGGAGAGAAUGAUUGUGCAACUAAUUACAUAGCAUUGUUCAGAUGAUUACUGACCAUAGAAUAAAAAUUUAGGGUGUAAAUAUGUGAAGAAAUGAAAUGAGAAAGGACCUAUUAUGACCCGUGUAGAGAUCACUGUAUAAUAAGUACUAUAGGAUCGCAUUUUGUAUUUUCUUAAGAAUUUCAUGAUUUGUUUUUAUGAUAUUUUGUUGCAGAUUAAAGUUUGGAACGAGUCACAGUACAUUAGGGAAAUGAGGUGGAGGAGGCCUACUGUGAGACCCCGUGUCAGAAAGCAAAGCAGGAGUUUCCUUGGUAGGCCAGCCUUCAGCUGAGUGUUCCUGGGUUCCUGAGGACAGAGAAGCCUUGGAGGCUGCAAGUCUCGUGUCCUCUUGAUGAUCUCCACACCUGAGGAUGGUUGAGAAUAGACAGCUGCUGAGACUGGUCAUCCAUCACUGCAUGUGCCAGAUUUCUCAUUCCUGGUGACUCCAGGCAGUUGCUGUAAGACUUAUGUCCUGUCGAUGAGCUCUGUACGUGUGGACUGUUGAUGAUGGUGGAGGAGGCCUGCCAUGAGACCCCCAUGUCAGAAAGCAAAGGGCCAGUCGCUGUGGUAGGCACGCCGUCAGCUGGGUGUUUCCGGUUCCUGGGCCCUGGAGCACCCUAUGAGGGCUGCAAGCCUGUGUCCCCCCGAUGAGCUCCAGGCCUGUGGAGUGCGCAGGAUGGGUGAGUUGCUGUGGCACACAUGCCUCUGCUGGCUGGGCCUGCCUUCUGGACCCCAGAGGAGCCUUGGAGGGCUGCCAGCCUUGUGUCCUCAUGACCAGCUCCGGGCUUGUGGAUGUUCAGGACAGUGGUACUGCCAUGUGAUGGAUUCCAGAGGACUACCAGGAAGACUUCUUUAUCCUAAGAUACAAUGAGAGGUCAGCAUACCCCAGGGCGAAUGUGAAAAGGCUUCUUUUGGUUGAUGGUGGAUGGCUGAUGAUGGUAAACAGCUCCUUGAGCAAACAUACUUUUGGAAAGCUGAACAAAGAGUGAAAAAACUAUACUGUCAUUCUCAUUGAACUGAGGUCCAGCACACUUCUCCAACAGGGACUAGAAAGAUGAGGGAUUGGAAUGAGACAGCUGGCAAUUACUCCCAUUGAGAGCAGUGCUCAGCUGGGCCAGGAGUAGGAUACAGCCCUUCUUAGGUGAAGGGCCAUCACCUAACGGUGCUUCGGACUCUCAGGUGCAACAUGUAGCUGGUUUGCGUGGCCUCUUCCCUGUUUGACUGGAAGGUCUGGGGCACACAGAGCCUGCCUGUGUGGGUGAGCCUGCUUGUGCCCUAGGAUGAAUUAGCCUAGCUGCAAGCCCGCUUCUUUGCUGCCAUUUUGGUUGCUGAGUGUUGGUGCUUUGGUCCAUUGUUCCCUAGAGGGAGACAUUCCAAGUUGUUGUGAAUGGAGCCCAAGGCAGGCCUUGGCACUGGCUUGGCUCCCUUUGAUGUCCAAUAGUUAGCUAGCAGAGCCUCAGGACAGUGGGGUGCAAGCAGUGGGAGUAUGUUUGCGGUGUGUGGCCAUUGGGAUUUUGCUCCCUGUGGGAAGGCUGGAGAAGGUACGUAUGGUUUUCCCUUGUAGGAAUAUCCUGGAGAAAUGCAAAGUGGGUGGCUUGCUGGGCCAAGAGCAGGUGAGAAAAGUAUCAGGGAGUGGGUGCCUUGCAUGUAUUGCAUGGAGGCUCAGCAGAUUGUUUCGGCAGCUGUCUCUGGAGUCUGGACCCACAGGACUUGUGUGGGAUUUCGUGUGUCCAUCUCUUCUGGCCUGUCAUAAGCUAGACACAAGCAAGUAUACAACUUGGAGUUAGACUCUGGUUUUAGCCCCUUACUAAAGGCAGAACAGUGAAGGACACUGGAAGUAGAGAAGCCAUGUGGCUGUGUGCUAAGUUGCCCAUGUGCACUGAGACUACUGAUUGGGGUCUCUGUCCCCAGAUGUGUGUCAUAGGCUGCUGUGUUCUGAAUUGGCUGAGAGAGGACAUUGGAGGGGAGGAGUCAUAGAGAAACUUUGUUGGGAAUGGGAUUGGUGCAGUGGAAGAGGACAAUAAGUGAGGGUUGUUUUGUGUUGCAGACGUGCCAACAUUGUUUGUAUGUUGAAAAGAAGGUAUGGUGCUCGUGCUCACUUUUGGACCAAUCAGUAUGGAGAAUUCCAGGCUCAGGGUCCCCUGCUUGUGCCUAGUGCACAGUUGCAUUGUUCAUAGAGUGAGUGAAUUUGCCUGGCCCUAUAUGGUCCUAUACCUAUAGCAGUCUGUGGCGAACAAGUCCCCAGUAAGGUCAAGACUUUCUUUUGUGGAUGUCAGGCUCUAUAGGUGUUUCUUUGUAAGGCUGCAGAUGAGAGAAGGGCUUUAGUGAGAGGUUCUAGUUUCUUACACUUUUCCGUAAUGAUACAUUCACUGAAAAUGAAUGCCCGUUCUCUGUGCAUGCAUGUUUGACUCUACUGUGGAAGGAACAACUGAGGCAUAUGGAUCUUACAGGGGAGGCAAGAGGGCAGUUGGUCAAAGUGAAUUGUUCUGACAAGCUGUGUACUCUUUUGCUUUCUGAAGUAUGCUUGUGUUUUUUCUGCAUGUCUCAGGUGGUUUUGCCUUGUGACAGAUUCCAGGGACAAGAGGGAAGAUUAGCAUGUCCUGAGGCCCACAGAGAGGUCAAAAAACCCUGCAGCACAUGUGCAGAGGCUUCUUCUGAAUGUUGAUGAAUGGCUGAUGAUGGUAAGAGGCUCUGUGCACAAACACGCUGAGGUUCUUAAUUUCUAGUUCUAGACAGUGUGCUUGGAUCAAUGCUGACUCUCAUACAUGCAUUCCUUGGAAAGCUGAACAAACUGAGUGAAAACUCAAAACCAUCAUUCUCAUUGAUUGAGGUCUAGCACAUUACUCCAGGAGGGACUAGAGACCUCGGAUGGGAAGGUACAGGGGCAAUUACUCCCACUGGGGGCACUACCUAGUUGGGCCAGUUACAAUAAGAAAAGUCCCUUGCUGUGAAAAGGGCUAUUCUGUAGACACCUCAGACUCCCAAGUGGUGGCCUCCUUGCUUUUUGGCUGUUGCUGGACCACAGGAGCUUAAUGACUCAGUGAGAGUAUGCGUAUCUCUGGAAUGCCAGGUAUGGUGGCACCUGCUUGUAGUCCCAGCACUUGCAAGGCUAAGGCAGAAAGAUUUCCAUGACCUGCACAAACAAAUCAGAACAACUAAAAACAGAUAUCUCUGGAAGAGUUAGCUUAGCUGCUAGCCUGCAUCUUUAUUGCCAUUCUGUUUGCUGAGUCUUGGUGCUUUGGUCUUUUGUCCCCUAGAAGGAGACAGAAUUGGUUGUUGGAAAUGCAGCCCAAGACAGGCUUUCACAUUGGCCUGGCUCCUUUUGGUGGUCUUUCUAGGACGUUGUAGUACCCAGGGCAUGGCUAUUGGAACUUUGGUCUCUGGGGAAAGACAAAGAACACGUGUGUGGUUUCCCCGUGUAAUGAUGCUGUGGAGAAAUGUGAAAUGGGUGGCUAGCUAGGCCUACCACAGGUGGGAGAAGUGUGAUGGGUAGAGCGCUGUGGGUUUAUUUUGUGGCUACCUUACAAAGUGAUUCUGUGAGGGAAUUUCCAGUGGCUGUCCCAGGGGUUUGGACCCAUGGCAGGUGUUGGUCAGUCAGGCCCGUGAGGUCCCUGUCUAGUCACCCCAGUGGUCAUAGCAUUCGUAUAGGAUUCAGUGUGUCUGUUGCCCUGUCACGUUCAGGUAUCAGCAGCCCCACCAUGUGAGGUUAGAGUCCAGUUUUAGCCUUUGCUGAAGGCAUAAAGUGGAGGGACACCUUAUUUGUACAGGCUGUGAGCCCAUGCACUAAGAUGAACUUACACAUUGAGACUAUUGUUUGGUGACUUGCACUGGAUGUGUGCCAACAGCUUUGUGCUGUGCCUUAGCUGAUAGAAGGGUGUUUGAGAAGAGGCAUCAUGGAGACACCCUAUUGCAAAUGAGGUUGAAAUAGGGAAGUAGAGCUGCAAGUGGAUAUUGACCAGUAUUGCAGAAGCACACUGACUUUGGCAGUAUGUCAGAAAGUAUUUGUGGUGCUGGUUCUUGCUUUUAGGUUAUGUGCCAAUCAGUAAGAAGAGUUUCCAGGGCCAUUGUAGCCUGUCAUACCCAGUGAACAGUGGAGCAUUGUCCAUGGAGUGACCUUGUAUAGUUGCAGACAAUUCUGUACUUCUCUUGCCUGUAGUCUGUGGCUGACACAUCACAGAGUUCAAGACUUCAUUCUGUGGAAGGCAGGUUCUAUAGGUAUUUAUGUACAAUGUUGCUGGUGUGAACAGAACUUUGAUAAGAGAAUCUAGCUUUGUGCUUAUUGGUGUGCUGAUCCAUGGAUUCUCAAUGAAUGCAUGUCUCAUACACACAUCUGGCUCUACAUUACCAAAAGAAGCAGAGGCACAUGGAUACUAGAUAGUAGGCAAGAGGAUAGAGGCCAUAUUGCAUUGCCCUUGUGACCUGUGUACCCAUAUACUUUUCUGAAGAAUGCCUAUGUUUCUUCUGUACUUCCCAGGUGACCUUGCCAUAUGAGGGACUCCAAACACUUAGUGGGAAGAUCUGUAUCUCUUCAGAUCGCUAGAGAGGUCAGCAAGCCCUGGGACACAUCUGGAGUAUCUUCUUUUGUUUGAUGAUGGAUGGCUGAUGACAGUAAGUAGCUCCAUGUACAAACUCAUUUGAGUUUCUUAAUUUCUAGGACUCAAGAAUGUGCUUGGAUUGAUGAUGACUGUCAUACAUACAAUCCUUGGAAAGUGGAAAAAAAUGAAUGGAAAAUCAAUACUGUAAUUGUCAUAGAACUGAGGUCCAGCACGCUUCUCCAGUGGGGACUAGAGAGAUAGAGGAUGGCAUGGAACAACUGACCAUUAAUUCCCAUCACAGGCACCUCUCAACUGGGCUAGGAGGAGUAGGAUAUGGCCUGCCUUCUUCACAACAGCUGUCAGUGGAUUUUUGGGACUCUUGGGUAUAGCAUGUAGCUUGUUUGAAUGUCUGGCCAUCCUUUUACUGACCAGGACUUGGACACAAAGAGUCUGUAUAGGUUGCUGAGUUCGCUGUUGACCCAGGAAUAUUUAGUCUAGCUGCUAGCUUCAUCAUUGGUGGUCUUGGUGCAUUUGGUCCUCCAUUCUCUAGAGGGCGAUAGUUUCUUGUGGUUCAGGAUGGAUCACCAAGCAGGCCUUAACACUGGCGUGGGCUAUUUUGAUGGUUGUUGUACCCAGGGCAAUAGGGUAUGAUCCUCUGUUGGUGCCCAUUGGGAUUUUGCUCACCAACAGAAAGCAAGAGAUACAGUUUCCCUUGUAGCAGUGGCCUGGAGAAAUACCAAAGGGGUGGAUAGUUAGAGGGUGAGAGAAGUUUGAGGAAGAAGGUGCUGUGCAUGUAUUGCAUGCAUGCUCAUCAAAGUGAUUUGGUGUCUUGGGAUUUUGGUCCCAUGGCAGUGAUUGGUCAGCAACAACCCUGAGAUCCCUGGCCACUCUCCCUAGUGGCCAUAGCACUUGUAUAGAAUUCAGUGUGUCCAUUUCUUCUGGCUGCCAUGUACCAACCAUGAGUAGUCCUACAACAUGCAGUUAGGGUUUCUUUUCAGUCUUUGCUGAAGAACAAGGAAGGGUAGCAGAGGUGCAGAGGCUGUGAGCCAUACAGUAAAUGACCUUGUGCACUGAGGUAGGGGACUGUGGCAUCUGCCCCUGGGAACAUCUUUUUAAAAGCCACAGCUUUUAUCUUCUGCAUUGGCCAGGAGGAGGGUGUUUGAGGAGAGCAAAUGGAGUUGGAGCAGCUCGUGAGCAUUGUCCAGUGUCACAGCGCUGCUGUCUUUGACAACAUGUUGAAAAGCACCCACUGUGCUGUGCUUAAUUUAUGCCACGUGCUGUUCAGUAGGGAGAGUUUCUAGGGCCAUUGUGCCUAUUGUACCCAGUCCAUAGUAGGGGAUGUUACACUGAGAACUGCACGGAGCCACAGUGCAGUACUGUGCCCACCAAGCUAGCAGCCUGUGGUCUACAAGGCCCCCUGAGAGGUUGAGACUGUCUUUGGCAGAAGGCAGGAUCUGUGGGCAUUGCUAUGCCACACUGGAGGUGUGCAGAGAGGGCUUUGCUGAGAGUUUGCAGAUCUGCGUUCUGUAGUCCAGUGGUGCAUGCACUCUGUGAAUGCUUGUUCUGUGCGCAUGUCUGGCUGUACUGUACCAGGAGCAGACGAGGCAUAUGGGUCUUAGUGGACAAGAACAUGGUAGGGCAAGUGACAUGUCCCUCAUGCUCUGUGUACCUGUCUCCUUUUCUAAAGCGUGCCUGUAUUUCUUCUGCAUUUCCCAGUUGGCUUUGCCAUGUGAUGGAUUGCAGGGACCUAGAGAGAAGAACUGUGUACCCGAGACCCUCAGAGAGGUCGACGUGGAUUGACCUCAUUAGGGUAGCAGUGCGUGUCUGAUGAAGGUAAGUGGCUGCACGUGCAAGCACACAAUUUUUCCUAAUUUAUAGGGCUCAAGAAUGUGCUUGGAUCAAUGAUGACACUCAUAAAUGCAUUCCUUGGAAAGCUGAACAAAAUGAGUGAAAAAUAUAUACCGUUGUUCUCAUCGAACUGAGGUCCAGCACACUUCUGCAAUGAAGGCUAGAGAGAUGGUGGUGCUGGGGUAGGUAAUGGGACAGGGCAGUGGCAAUUACUCCCAUUGGAAGCAGCGUUCACUUGGGCCAGGAGUAGGACAUGACCUUCCUUGAGAAGUAUUAGGGAGAGGGUAUGUAGAUGUCCUUCAGAGUUAUUUGCUGAGUGAGGUUUCUAGUGGCUGUGGCAUGGUUUGUGUUGGGGUCAGUAUCUGUCAGCAGUGACCCUGGAUCUUGGACUACCCACCUUAAUGACCACAGCACUUGUGUACGAUUCCCGUUUCUUCUGGUCUGUCCUAUCUUAGCAGUGAGCAGCUCUGUAACAUGGAAUCAGAGUACAGGGUCAGCUUUUGCUGAAAGCAGAACUCAGAAGGACACUGGAGGUACGGAGGCUGUGAGGCUAUGAGCUAAGCUGCCCAUGCACACUGAGUCUGCUGCCUCAGGACUCUGCCACUGGAUGUGUACCAGCAACUUUUAUGUUCUGCAGUGGCUGAGACCAGGGCAGCAGAGGGCAGGGGUAAUGGGGAAGUCUUGUUGUGAAUAUUCAGUGCAGGGGAGGUGAGCAGCUGAUAGACAUUGCCAGGGUCCAGAUGUGCCAACUUUGGCAGUGUGCAGGAACAGUGGUGGUGCUGGCCCUUGGUUGGAGCCAUGUGCUAGUCAUAGGGAGAGUUUCCAGGGCCAGUGUGCCCUUCUGGUCCCUGGUUCACAGUGGGGGAUCGUCUAUGGAAUGACACCCCAGGCUCCCAUGCAGUACUGUGCUUAUGCUGCUAGUUGUCUGUGGCCUGCAAACCCCCUGGAGAGGUCAGGCUUCCUCUUGGGAAAGGCAAGUUCUGGAGAUAGUGCUGGGUCACACUGCAGAUGUGGAGGG